AUUGAACGCUGGCGGCAGGCCUAACCCAUGCAAGUCGAGCGAGCGGCGGACGGGUGAGUAAUGUCUGGGAAAAUGCCUGAUGGAGGGGGAUAACUACUGGAAACGGUAGCUAAUACCGCAUACCAUCAGAUGUGCCCAGAGGGGAUUAGCUGGUAGGUGGGGUAACGCCUCACCUCGGCGACGCUCCCUAGCUGGUCUGAGAGGUUGACCAGCAACACGUGAACUAAGACAAGGUCCAGACUCCUACGGGAGGCAGCAGUGGGGAAUAUUGCACAAUGGGCGCAAGCCUGAUGCAGCCAUGCCGCGUGUGUGAAGAAGGCCUUCGGGUUGUAAAGCACUUUCAGCGGGGAGGCGUUACCCGCAGAAGAAGCACCGGCUAACUCCGUGCCAGCAGCCGCGGUAAUAC
rnacentral:rRNA from 1 species